rnacentral:rRNA from 1 species
CCUACGGGUGGCAGCAGUGAGGAAUAUUGGUCAAUGGGCGAGAGCCUGAACCAGCCAAGUCGCGUGAAGGAAGACUGCCCGCAAGGGUUGUAAACUUCUUUUGUAUGGGAUUAAAGUCGUCUACGUGUAGGCGUUUGCAGUUACCAUACGAAUAAGCAUCGGGUAACUCCGGGCCAGCAGCCGCGGUAAUACGGAGGAUGCGAGCGUUAUCCGGAAUUAUUGGGUUUAAAGGGUGCGUAGGUUGCAAGGGAAGUCAGGGGUGAAAAGCUAUAGCUCAACUAUGGUCUUGCCUUUGAAACUGGCUAGCUAGAGUGUACUGGAGGUACGUAGAACGUGUGGUGUAGCGGUGAAAUGCAGCAAUAUCACACAGAAAGCCGAUUGCGCAGGCAGCGUACUACAUUACAGCUGACACUGAAGCACGAAAGCGUGGGUAUACAACAAGAUUAGAUACCCGGGUAGUC